GGUGCCGUGGUGUAGUUGGUUAUCACGUCAGUCUAACACACUGAAAGUCUCCUGUUCAAGUCUUGGCGGAGCCA
rfam:Picea glauca, whole genome shotgun sequence.